rnacentral:rRNA from 1 species
ACGCACGCUGGCGGCGUGCCUAAUCCCUGCAAGUAGCACGCUGAAGAGAGGAGCUUGCUCUUCUUGGAUGAGUUGCGAACGGGUGAGUAACGCGUAGGUAACCUGCCUUGUAGCGGGGGAUAACUAUUGGAAACGAUAGCUAAUACCGCAUAACAAUGGAUGACCCAUGUCAUUUAUUUGAAAGGGGCAAAUGCUCCACUACAAGAUGGACCUGCGUUGUAUUAGCUAGUAGGUGAGGUAACGGCUCACCUAGGCGACGAUACAUAGCCGACCUGAGAGGGUGAUCGGCCACACGGGGACUGAGACACGGCCCAGACGCCUACGGGAGGCAGCAGUAGGGAAUCUUCGGCAAUGGGGGCAACCCUGACCGAGCAACGCCGCGUGAGUGAAGAAGGUUUUCGGAUCGUAAAGCUCUGUUGUAAGUCAAGAACGAGUGUGAGAGUGGAAAGUUCACACUGUGACGGUAGCUUACCAGAAAGGGACGGCUAACUACGUG